GUGAGGAAGCGGAGCGAGAGGCGCACUCGAGCCAUAGCGUCGAUCACCACUUCGAUUCGCUCCUCGUCUGCUUAGGCUCUUCCUCUUUCGCAAUUUUCGCCUUCCGUUGAUCUCCAUUACUUGUUGAAUGGGGAUCGUGAAGCACGAAUCGGAUUGGAAGAUCGCUCCCUUUCUCGUUUUUCUUGCUCUGCAAAGUGCAACUUGAACACUGCGUUUCUCAGUGAUCGAAGUGGCUUCUCAGUUUCUGUUGUUCCUUUUGAUGGUGUUUGAAGGUCUCUAAAGCCGUGGAAACUAGAAGAGCCAAUCAAAUGCAUGGACUUUUCAGAUUAACAUGAUGGUUGGUGUCUCAAAGGGAUUCGAAAAGAAACUGCAGCUACGGGGCAAGGAUCUUAUUCUCAACCUUGGGUUCUCACGGUUAGAGCUGCGGGGCAAGGAUCUUAUUUUGGGUUCUCACUGUUAGAUUAUAUAUUUAUUUGUUUAUAUUUUUUAAGAUAAUUUGGACCUUUUCUUUUUUUUUAUAGAGUUUAGGGUUUCUUAACUUAACUAUAUAAGACCUUAAACUCUGUAUCAA